GACGAACGCUGGCGGCGUGCUUAACACAUGCAAGUUGAACGGGGUAUUUAAGUUUACUUAGAUACUUAGUAUCGGACGGGUGAGUAACGCGUGAGUAACCUACCUUUGUGAGGGGGACAACAGCUGGAAACGGCUGCUAAUACCGCAUAAGGCCACGACCUCGAGUGAGGAUGUGGUAAAAGAUUUAUCGCACAGAGAUGGACUCGCGUCCCAUUAGCUAGUUGGUGAGGUAACGGCCCACCAAGGCAUCGAUGGGUAGCCGACCUGAGAGGGUGAUCGGCCAUACUGGAACUGAGACACGGUCCAGACUCCUACGGGAGGCUG
rnacentral:rRNA from 1 species